AAAAGGGUAGCAGCAGACGACAUGAGGAAACAAGAGUGCUAGGAUUCUGGAGAGACUUUCUCCUUGACACAGAAGAACAAAAAAUGGGUCUCUCUCUCCAGGACGUCCUGAUGUUUGCCACCGGCUUGAACACACUACCUCCAUCUUCAAUUCUGCCACCACCAAAACUGAUCUUUCAGGCCACUUCUCGUUUUCCUGUCAGUAGCACCUGCUCCAACACUAUCAAAAUACCAAUGUCCAAGACGUAUCAUCAGUUUAAAGAAGACAUGGACUUUGGGAUUCAAAACUCCCCUGGGUUUGGGCUUUAUUAAGAUCAAAUGCAUAACAACAAAACAAAAUGCUAACUAUUUAACUUGUCAAACCUGUUCAGUUAUGACACUGUUAAGUGUUUGUGUGCGACCUUCAAAGUUGGAUUCUUGUUUGUUUAUAAGUCCACCAUGUUUUUCAGUUUGAUAUAGUUUUCGACACAUGAUUCCCAACUCUGUGGAUGUGCUAGGCCACACUGUCUCUGGAGGUUCUCAAAAUGUGUCUGAAGGUGUUCAUCUCUACAUUGAAUGUUGUUAGUCUCUGUCACAAACCAAUUGCUCCUGGGAGACUGGGAAACCACAGUCUGUUCCACCAAACCUAGGAAUAGAAGAAGCACAGUAAACAUUUAGUUAUAUUUACAUUUCUUCACUAAACUGUUACUGCUGUGACUAUUGUUGUAACCUGUCUAAAUGAUUAAUUGUAUUUAAAUUUACAUUUUAGAAAUUGUCAUCUGAAAUUGUUAGAAUAAAAAGUGACAUACUGUUAA